rnacentral:rRNA from 1 species
CACGUAGGGUGCGAGCGUUGUCCGGAAUUAUUGGGCGUAAAGAGCUCGUAGGCGGUGUGUCGCGUCGGCCGUGAAAACCUGCAGCUUAACUGUGGGCUUGCGGUCGAUACGGGCAUCACUGGAGUUCGGCAGGGGAGACUGGAAUUCCUGGUGUAGCGGUGAAAUGCGCAGAUAUCAGGAGGAACACCGAUGGCGAAGGCAGGUCUCUGGGACGGUACUGACGCUGAGACGCGAAAGCGUGGGGAGCGAACAGG